rnacentral:rRNA from 1 species
CAGCAGCCGCGGGAAUACGGAGGGUGCAAGCGUUACUCGGAAUCACUGGGCGUAAAGGACGCGUAGGCGGAUUAUCAAGUCUCUUGUGAAAUCUAACGGCUUAACCGUCAAACUGCUUGGGAAACUGAUAAUCUAGAGUAAGGGAGAGGCAGAUGGAAUUCUUGGUGUAGGGGUAAAAUCCGUAGAUAUCAAGAAGAAUACCUAUUGCGAAGGCGAUCUGCUGGAACUUAACUGACGCUAAUGCGUGAAAGCGUGGGGAGCAAACAGGAUUAGAUACCCCCGUAGUCCCUGUCUCUUAUAC